UGGGUGUUAUGGCUGGUUCUUACUACAUUAUUCAUCCGCUACAGGAACUGGGAUUAGAUUGCAAAAGGUCCCAAGGCCAAAGCCUCCUGAGCUGGGAAAUCAAAACUACCCCCUCAAGCAAUAGGGACAGCCCUGUGACAGCAAGACCCUGCCCAUGAUUGAUCUCAAGACAAUGACUGGCCCGACCUUCGCUGCCCACCUGCACGUACUCACUGACCUCUGUCCCACAUUUGCUUUAUAUAAACCGGCAAGUAUGUUCAGCACUUUGGAGACAGCCCUUCAGGCUUGUACCCAUGACACGGAACCCUCUUUGGGCUUUGGUGCAAGGCAAGCCAGAUCGUCACCUAUUCGUUCAUGAUGUUUGCAAUUUCUUCGCGGAAUCGGACUGCCAUUCUGGAAAACUGGAGGACUAUUUUCUCGAUAUCUGUGUAUGUGCCAUUCCCAGAGCAAUGUCUUUGGAAUGACAACUUUGACGUUUAAUCUACAUUCUCAACAUUCUCUCUUUCUCGCACCAGCUGACCCACUGCACUCUGACCAGGACCCCAUCACAGUCUACCAUUCGUCUUGCUGGGAAGGGGGAAGACACCUGCCAGGCCACUGUUUCUCAGCC